AAAAAAAACCUCCUCUUGCUCCUUCACUGUUCACGUAACAAGCACCAAACCCUCAACACCCUCCUCCUUGCUGCCGCUGCUCACGCCGCCGGACCCACCAGCACGUCACCGGCAUCCCGUCGCCACUGCACCACCACCACGCUGAGCGCUCGUGGUUCGGCAAUAACCGCCGUCCUCGUCGUCCACCCUUGCACGCAACACCACCUCGCCGCACCGCCGCGUGCCGCCCAGCCUUCCUCGCCGCACCGCCGCGUGCCGCCCAGCCUUCCUCGUCGCCGGCAGUUCUCCCCCUUCCCUUAUUCGGCGGAGAAUUCUCUUUAGGCGACUUUUGAAAGUGUUAAAGUGGCCUAUCAGUUUGUUUACACAAGUCUCUAAGGAUCAAUAAGCAUUGCCCAUCUACAGGUUUGAAGAUGAUGCAUCAUUGGGAUCGGGAUUAGAGAGCUUGUAGUUCUAUUUGUUUAAUUAAGUGAUUCAAUUUGUUAACUUGAAUUUGAAACUUGUCGUACUAUUCGUAUUUCCUUAUUUCAGUUAAUUGUUUUGGACCUAAUAUGUAAUAGAUUAAUUAUGAACCCAAAAGUUAGUUUUAUGUUUUCCGCUGCAAAAUUCUGAAUAAGCCGUACGUUUUUACACGGGCGAUAAUACUUUGAUAAUUCCCUACAGUUAUAUUUAAAAAGAGGUUAUUUUAGAAAAUGGGAAUUGUCGGGG